rnacentral:rRNA from 1 species
AGGCAUGUGCACGCCCUGCUCAUCCACUCUACACCUGUGCACUUACUGUGGGUUUCAGAUUGCGUAGCGGGCCUUUGCGGGUUCGUGAAGCGGUCUGUGCCUGCGUUUAUUACAAACACUAUAAAGUAUCAGAAUGUGUAUCGCGAUGUAACGCAUCUAUAUACAACUUUCAGCAACGGAUCUCUUGGCUCUCGCAUCGAUGAAGAACGCAGCGAAAUGCGAUAAGUAAUGUGAAUUGCAGAAUUCAGUGAAUCAUCGAAUCUUUGAACGCACCUUGCGCUCCUUGGUAUUCCGAGGAGCAUGCCUGUUUGAGUGUCAUGAAAUCUUCAACCUAACAAGCUUUGCGGUUUGUUAGGCUUGGACUUGGAGGCUUUGUCGGNCUNACGGUCGGCUCCUCUUAAAUGCAUUAGCUUGGUUCCUUGCGGAUCGGCUCUCGGUGUGAUAAUUGUCUACGCCGCGACCGUGAAGCGUUUGGCGAGCUUCUAACCGUCUCNCAUGAGACAGCUUUAUGACCUCUGACCUCAAAUCAGGUAGGACUACCCGCUGAACUUAAGCAUAUCAAUAANCGGAGGA